rnacentral:tRNA from 1 species
CGCGGGGUGGAGCAGCCCGGUAGCUCGUCAGGCUCAUAACCUGAAGGUCACAGGUUCAAAUCCUGUCCCGCAACCA